rnacentral:rRNA from 1 species
AGGCUGAGGCGUGAUGACGAGGCACUACGGUGCUGAAGCGACAAAUGCCCUGCUUCCAGGAAAAGCCUCUAAGCAUCAGGUAACAUUAAAUCGUACCCCAAACCGACACAGGUGGUCAGGUAGAGAAUACCAAGGCGCUUGAGAGAACUCGGGUGAAGGAACUAGGCAAAAUGGUGCCGUAACUUCGGGAGAAGGCACGCUGAUAUGUAGGUGAAGCGACUUGCUCGUGGAGCUGAAAUCAGUCGAAGAUACCAGCUGGCUGCAACUGUUUAUUAAAAACACAGCACUGUGCAAACACGAAAGUGGACGUAUACGGUGUGACGCCUGCCCGGUGCCGGAAGGUUAAUUGAUGGGGUUAGCGGCAACGCGAAGCUCUUGAUCGAAGCCCCGGUAAACGGCGGCCGUAACUAUAACGGUCCUAAGGUAGCGAAAUUCCUUGUCGGGUAAGUUCCGACCUGCACGAAUGGCGUAAUGAUGGCCAGGCUGUCUCCACCCGAGACUCAGUGAAAUUGAACUCGCUGUGAAGAUGCAGUGUACCCGCGGCAAGACGGAAAGACCCCGUGAACCUUUACUAUAGCUUGACACUGAACAUUGAGCCUUGAUGUGUAGGAUAGGUGGGAGGCUUUGAAGUGUGGACGCCAGUCUGCAUGGAGCCGACCUUGAAAUACCACCCUUUAAUGUUUGAUGUUCUAACGUGGGCCCGUAAUCCGGGUUGCGGACAGUGUCUGGUGGGUAGUUUGACUGGGGCGGUCUCCUCCUAAAGAGUAACGGAGGAGCACGAAGGUUGGCUAAUCCUGGUCGGACAUCAGGAGGUUAGUGCAAUGGCAUAAGCCAGCUUGACUGCGAGCGUGACGGCGCGAGCAGGUGCGAAAGCAGGUCAUAGUGAUCCGGUGGUUCUGAAUGGAAGGGCCAUCGCUCAACGGAUAAAAGGUACUCCGGGGAUAACAGGCUGAUACCGCCCAAGAGUUCAUAUCGACGGCGGUGUUUGGCACCUCGAUGUCGGCUCAUCACAUCCUGGGGCUGAAGUAGGUCCCAAGGGUAUGGCUGUUCGCCAUUUAAAGUGGUACGCGAGCUGGGUUUAGAACGUCGUGAGACAGUUCGGUCCCUAUCUGCCGUGGGCGCUGGAGAACUGAGGGGGGCUGCUCCUAGUACGAGAGGACCGGAGUGGACGCAUCACUGGUGUUCGGGUUGUCAUGCCAAUGGCACUGCCCGGUAGCUAAAUGCGGAAGAGAUAAGUGCUGAAAGCAUCUAAGCACGAAACUUGCCCCGAGAUGAGUUCUCCCUGACCCUUUAAGGGUCCUGAAGGAACGUUGAAGACGACGACGUUGAUAGGCCGGGUGUGUAAGCGCAGCGAUGCGUUGAGCUAACCGGUACUAAUGAACCGUGAGGCUUAACCUU